AUGCUUUCUUUGAUAGCACAUAUACUAAAAUUGGAGUGAUACAGAGAUAAGUCUGGCCCUGUGUAAGGAUGGCACGCAAAUCUGUGAAACAUUCAUAGUUUUA
rfam:Otolemur garnettii contig032806, whole genome shotgun sequence.